rnacentral:tRNA from 1 species
GCCUGGUUGGCUUAGUCAGUUGAGCCUCUGACUUUGGCUCAGGUUAUGAUCUCACGGUUCAUGGGUUCAAGCCCUGUGUCGGGCU